rnacentral:rRNA from 1 species
GACGAACGCUGGCGGCGUGCCUAAUACAUGCAAGUAGAACGCACAGUUUAUACCGUAGCUUGCUACACCAUAGACUGUGAGUUGCGAACGGGUGAGUAACGCGUAGGUAACCUGCCUGGUAGCGGGGGAUAACUAUUGGAAACGAUAGCUAAUACCGCAUAAUAUUAAUUAUUGCAUGAUAAUUGAUUGAAAGAUGCAACUGCAUCACUACCAGAUGGACCUGCGUUGUAUUAGCUAGUAGGUGAGGUAACGGCUCACCUAGGCGACGAUACAUAGCCGACCUGAGAGGGUGAUCGGCCACACUGGGACUGAGACACGGCCCAGACUCCUACGGGAGGCAGCAGUAGGGAAUCUUCGGCAAUGGACGAAAGUCUGACCGAGCAACGCCGCGUGAGUGAAGAAGGUUUUCGGAUCGUAAAGCUCUGUUGUAAGAGAAGAACGGGUGUGAGAGUGGAAAGUUCACACUGUGACGGUAUCUUACCAGAAAGGGACGACUAACUACGUG